rnacentral:rRNA from 1 species
AGCAGCCGCGGUAAUUCCAGCUCCAAUAGCGUAUAUUAAAGUUGUUGCAGUUAAAAAGCUCGUAGUUGAAUUUCGGGACCAAUUUGUUGGUCGUGCCUCGGUACGUACUGGUAUUAUUGGUUUCUCCCUUCUGAAGAACCUCGAUGCCAUUAAUUUGGUGUCGUGGGGAAUCAGGACUGUUACUUUGAAAAAUUAGAGUGUUUAAAGCAAGCAUACGCUUGAAUACAUUAGCAUGGAAUAAUGAAAUAGGACGUUUGAUUCUAUUUUGUUGGUUUCUAGGAUCGACGUAAUGAUUAAUAGGGAUAGUUGGGGGCAUUAGUAUUCAAUUGUCAGAGGUGAAAUUCUUGGAUUUAUUGAAGACUAACUACUGCGAAAGCAUUUGCCAAGGAUGUUUUCAUUAAUCAAGAACGAAAGUUAGGGGAUCGAAGACGAUCAGAUACCGUCGUAGUCUUAACCAUAAACUAUGCCGACUAGGGAUCGGAUGAUGUUAAUUUUUAAUGUACUCAUUCGGCGCCUUACG